ACUACAUGAGUAUGUGAGCCCAGACUGAGUAGGUGGCUGAUGAUGGUGAUGAAAGCAGGAAGUGUGUGGUUUACUGACUUCCCCUCCGAGUUGCAGCUGUUCAUGCUGCCGUUGUUGGACUCUCUGCUGGGCUGGCGGCUCAUAUUCCGGGUCAGCUCCACUGCCAUGCCAGUCUCUGUGCUCCUUUGGAUGGGUGCACCCUUCUCCUUCUUACUCUUCCCCUCUGAGGCAAAGAGGAGAGACAGGAAACAUCAGGAUGUUGGAGUCAAAGUACACGGUAUAUUUAAAUAGAUACUUUUGUGCAGUCCUACUGAAAAACAGCUUUGAUUAACUGAGCUAAGUCAGGAACUCCCCCAAAAUAUUCUAGUUUUUACACUGAAGUAGUGGUGAUGCUGAAAAGCAGCUAUUUUCCCUCAUAGGUCAGUUAUUAAUCUGCAAUAUUAUGAUUAUAAUGAUUUUCUUUGGGGAACAGUUUGACCUUUCAUUCUGCUUGUUUAUAAUUGGACCAAUUUUUCUCAUUCCUUUUUAUUUUCCAUUAGUUUAAAUGUAUUUAAACUUGAAAUAUAUUUUCUCUCCAUAUGUUGUUUACCUGUUCACUUUUUUUGCUGCUUUUUUUGUUGUCUUUACCUAACUUUAAAAUUGUACAUUUUAGUCAGAGGUUGAAGAAGGGGCUUUUACACUAAUUACACUUUUGUUCUUUUUUAUGUAAAAGUUAAUAGCGAUCUAUCAAUAAACUAUUACCUUUACCCCAUGUUGUUGUUACCAGCUAAUCUAAGUAGAUACAGCCCACAGAUUCAGUUAAGAACUAUGUGAUUUUGUCUUGCUGAAGCACGCCACAGUUGCAUCCAUUUCCUGCUGAUUCUGGUUAUCAGGAGUAAACAGGAAAUUAUUGGGCAGGCAAAAAUAUCCCAGACUUGGACUGGUGUACUUCCAUCUUCAGACCCCUUAUUGCCGUGCAGCGUGCAAAGAGACAAAGUUAGAGGCAUUUCUGAGAUUCCCAACAUCCCUUGUAUACGCAUGAUGUCAAUGAUGACUCCUGAUUUUCUUGUACAUUCCUUAAGUUUAACUUCUUUUCUCAUCCAUCUUGAACAGGAAAGCUUUAACAAAUGAAUGUUUAUCUCCCCUUCCUCUGUCCUGUCCCCAGCAGGCAGAGACUUAAUGUUCUCUAAUAGCUUUUUAUGUCCACUACAAAGAGGAGGAGUACUGCGUUUGGCCUGGAUUCUUGAGUCCUACACCCCCCUGUGCACUCUAUGUCAGCAGAGGUACAGUCGCUCCUCAGGACAACUGUUUUGGAUUGGGACAUGUAUUGCAGAUUUAAAAAACAAAAAGAUAUUCUAUUAUAAAAUGACCGUGUUGGUCUUUUGAGUGUCUGAUGCCCCUUUUUCCGUUUGCACAUUACAACACUGACACAUGCACGCACGCACGCACACACACACGCACGCACGCACGCACACACACACACACACACACAUUUUUCACUCAUGCUCAUCACACACCACUGUCUCUACACAUCCCCUCUGUAAGCUGCAAUAUGCAUCCACUAUGUAACUAGUUGCAGUUCAUAUGGCCGACACGCUAACUAGUGUGCAAGAUGCAAAUGAUGCAGAUGAGACAGACUCUGACAGGAUGUUAACACUGUAAUGAGUCACGCUUGUAAUGCGCUUGAUGUUGCCAGACGUAUGACUGUACUUUAAAACACAGUGUAUUUAAGAUCCGAUUCUAGAAAAAAUAUUUUAAAAUGUUAGCUGGAUUGCGGUCUAGCUUAGGGCCAAUAGGAGACAUCAGUGCAGUGUUUUCCCUCCUCCGCGAUAGCAUUCUGUGUAGCUACUGCGCAUUUGGGAUCCACUAGUACUAUUAAAAAAAUAUCUGGAACAAACAACCAGAACCCUGCAGGUCCGCUGCAACUCUUACUACUUUAAAUCCAGGCUGAAGACUUUUCUGUUUGCCGCUGCUUUUAACUGAACUCUUCAUAUCCUACUCUGCACUGUAACUUCCUGUGUUUUAUGUUUAUUGUAUUCUCUUUGCUUUUCAAAGACUGUUUUUAAAUGCCUGUUUUAAUGCUCUUACUGUUUUUUCAUUUUUGUAAAGCACUUUGAAUUGCCUUGAAAUGAGCUAUAUAAAUAAACUUGCCUAGUAAACAUUUUAA